rnacentral:rRNA from 1 species
CCUACGGGGGGCUGCAGUGGGGAAUUUUGGACAAUGGGCGCAAGCCUGAUCCAGCCAUGCCGCGUGCAGGAUGAAGGCCUUCGGGUUGUAAACUGCUUUUGUACGGAACGAAAAGCCCCCUUUUAAUAAAGGGGGGUGAUGACGGUACCGUAAGAAUAAGCACCGGCUAACUACGUGCCAGCAGCCGCGGUAAUACGUAGGGUGCAAGCGUUAAGCGGAAUUACUGGGGGUGGUUAGGUAGCAGGGGGGUGAAAUCCCCGGGCUCAACCUGGGAACUGCCUUUGUGACUGCAUAGCUUGAGUGCGGCAGAGGGGGAUGGAAUUCCGCGUGUAGCAGUGAAAUGCGUAGAUAUGCGGAGGAACACCGAUGGCGAAGGCAAUCCCCUGGGCCUGCACUGACGCUCAUGCACGAAAGCGUGGGGAGCAAACAGGAUUAGAUACCCGAGUAGUC